GAGCGUGAGCAGGGGUGGGGCAGAGAGAGGGAGACACAGAAUCCGAAGCAGGCGCCAGGCUCCUAGCUGUCAGCACAGAGUGCGACCUGGGGCUCGAACUCACAAACCGCGAGAUCAUGACCUGAGCCGAAGUCGGACACUUAACCAACUGAGCCACCCAGUGAAACUACAGCGAGAAGGAAGAUAAAAGAGAAGCGCUCCUUCCUCCUUUCUCCUUUUGAUCUCUCCUGGAAGUGGAAAGAAAAUCCGUGCCUCUCUCCGGAAACUGAGGAACAGCAUAAGGAGCAUUUCCCCUACUGAUGACAGGGCCUCUGUUAGACGCAGGCAAAGUAGAAAUACAAACUCAGGUAAAGCUGCCUAAUCAUAUGGAGGCCCUAAAUAGGAAAUACGCCUUCUUGUGUACAAUGUGCAGGGCCAGGGCGCCGAGGGAAACAGAAGGUAGGGAAAUACGCCGGAUUACUGGUCUAGCUGGGCCAAAGGGGCAACAUUUAGUACAUGGAGGCAAGAGUGCCUUAUAAAACUCAAGGGCGAGAGUGCAGCUGGGCCUCAGGGUGGGACCAGAGUCAAGGAAGCCAUGGGAACCCAGGAAAUAGACCCUCUUCAUCUCAACUCUUGGCUUCUCCUGGAGCACCUGCUUCCCUUUUCUCUUUGCCUUUCUUUGUUCCCUCAUCUCCUUAACAGAAAACAAAGACGAGCAGGGCUUCGUGGUUUGCCUGUUCUGGAUUCAGCCCCAGAGAGUGCCUCACAGAGUGACUGACUCUUUCCCAGUAGCCCUUGAUCUUGUUCUCCGUUCUCAUUUCGCAGGAAAGGGUCACCAGCUGGCCUGGCCUAAGUCAGAGCCUCGUUUCUUGUCCACUCCCCUGUGCUGGGUGGCUGUGUAUAUCAGAUCCCGCCCCCACCCCGCCCCGCUGUGGGCUGCGUCUGACGCGGUUCAAGGAAGUGAGCUGAGAAGAUACUCCAAAAUUGUCUUCGGCAUCUGAGUGUUUUCGGUGACUGAGAUCAGGAAAUAUUCAGGAAAUUUCCAAUCACGUAGCAUGUUUAUGCCAUGCAAUAAAAUGCAAUUAAGCAGUCA